AGAUAGAACAUGAUGAUUUCAUAGAGUGUAUACGUCGAACAAAAACGGUAAGGAAGUGAUGGAGAUGAGACGUAUGGAUACCAUCUGGAGGCAACGGGAAAAACUGAUGAAGGAAGGGAAGUACACCCCUCCGCCUCACCACAUGGGCAAGGGGGAGCCUCGGCCCUGAGCAGACACAGCUACUGAUAUCUGGAGGCCGAUUUUCAUGUUCUCUGUUCUCCACUGGAAAGGUUUAUGGAAAACCUCCUUGUCAAAGUGUUUAAAAAUAAAGUAUUGCUCCAUCCUAUUUCUUCUAUUUUC